rnacentral:rRNA from 1 species
GACGAACGCUGGCGGCGUGCUUAACACAUGCAAGUCGAACGGAAAGGCCCUGCUUUUGUGGGGUGCUCGAGUGGCGAACGGGUGAGUAACACGUGAGUAGCCUGCCCUUGACUUUGGGAUAACUUCAGGAAACUGGGGCUAAUACCGGAUAGGAGCUCCUGCUGCAUGGUGGGGGUUGGAAAGUUUCGGCGGUUGGGGAUGGACUCGCGGCUUAUCAGCUUGUUGGUGGGGUAGUGGCUUACCAAGGCUUUGACGGGUAGCCGGCCUGAGAGGGUGACCGGCCACAUUGGGACUGAGAUACGGCCCAGACUCCUACGGGAGGCAGCAGUGGGGAAUAUUGCACAAUGGGCGGAAGCCUGAUGCAGCAACGCCGCGUGCGGGAUGACGGCCUUCGUGUUGUAAACCGCUUUCGCCUGUGACGAAGCGUGAGUGACGGUAAUGGGUAAAGAAGCACCGGCUAACUACGUG